rnacentral:rRNA from 1 species
ACGAACGCUGGCGGCGUGCUUCACACAUGCAAGUCGAACGGUGAAGGGACCAGCUUGCUGGUUCUGGAUGAGUGGCGAACGGGUGAGUAACACGUGAGUAACCUGCCCCCUUCUUCUGGAUAACCGCAUGAAAGUGUGGCUAAUACGGGAUAUUCUGGGUCUGUCGCAUGGCGGGCCCGGGAAAGAUAUUGCUUCGGUGGGGGAUGGGCUCGCGGCCUAUCAGCUUGUUGGUGGGGUGAUGGCCUACCAAGGCGGUGACGGGUAGCCGGCCUGAGAGGGUGGACGGUCACACUGGGACUGAGACACGGCCCAGACUCCUACGGGAGGCAGCAGUGGGGAAUAUUGCACAAUGGGCGCAAGCCUGAUGCAGCGACGCCGCGUGAGGGAUGGAGGCCUUCGGGUUGUAAACCUCUUUCGCCAGUGAAGCAGGCCUGCUCCUUGUGGGUGGGUUGACGGUAGCUGGAUAAGAAGCGCCGGCUAACUACGUG